rnacentral:rRNA from 1 species
GCGGGAUURAWUCURGCUCAGGAUGAACGCWGGCGGCGUGCUUAACACAUGCAAGUCGAACGGRAUCCAUCAGGCUUUGCUUGGUGGUGAGARURGCGAACGGGUGAGUAACGCGURAMCRACCUGCCCCAUACACCGGAAUARCUCCUGGAAACGGGUGGUAAUGCCGGAUGCUCCGACUCCUCGCAUGGGGUGUCGGGAAARAWUCCAUCGGUAUGGGAUGGGGUCGCGUCCUAUCAGGUAGUCGGCGGGGUAACGGCCCACCGAGCCUACGACGGGUAGCCGGCCUGARAGGGCGACCGGCCACAUUGGGACUGARAUACGGCCCAGACUCCUACGGGAGGCAGCAGUGGGGAAUAUUGCACAAUGGGCGCAAGCUGAUGCAGCGACGCCGCGUGCGGGAUGACGGCCUUCGGGUUGUAAACCGCUUUUGAUCGGGAGCAAGCCUUCGGGUGAGUGUACCUUUCGAAUAARCACCGGCUAACUAMRUGCCAGCAGCCGCGGUAAUACGUAGGGUGCAAGCRUUAUCCGGAAUUAUUGGGCGUAAAGGGCUCGUAGGCGGUUCGUCGCGUCCGGUGUGAAARUCCAUCGCUUAACGGUGGAUCUGCGCCGGGUACGGGCGGGCUGGGARUGCCSGUAAGGGGAGACUGGAAAUUCCCGGUGUAAACGKKGGAAUGUGUAGAUAUACGGGAAGAACACCAAUGGCGAAGGCAGGUCUCUGGGCCKUUACUGACGCUGAGGAGCGAAAMGCGUGGGGAGCGAACAGGAUUAGAUACCCUGGUAGUCCACGCCGUAAACGGUGGAUGCUGGAUGUGGGGCCCGUUCCACGGGUUCCGUGUCGGRRCUAACGCGUUAAGCAUCCCGCCUGGGGAGUACGGCCGCAAGGYWAAAACUCAAAGAAAUUGACGGGGGCCCGCACAAGCGGCGGAGCAUCGCGGAUUAAUUCGAUGCAACGCGAAGAACCUUACCUGGGGCUUGACAUGUUCCCGACAGCCGUAGAGAUAUGGCCUCCCUUCGGGGCGGGUUCACAGGUGGUGCAUGGUCGUCGUCAGCUCGUGUCGUGAGAUGUUGGGUUAAGUCCCGCAACGAGCGCAACCCUCGCCCUGUGUUGCCAGCACGUCAUGGUGGGAACUCACGGGGGACCGCCGGGGUCAACUCGGAGGAAGGUGGGGAUGACGUCAGAUCAUCAUGCCCCUUACKUCCAGGGCUUCACGCAUGCUACAAUGGCCGGUACAACGGGAUGCGACACGGCGACGUGGAGCGGAUCCCUGAAAACCGGUCUCAGUUCGGAUUGGAGUCUGCAACCCGACUCCAUGAAGGCGGAGUCGCUAGUAAUCGCGGAUCAGCAACGCCGCGGUGAAUGCGUUCCCGGGCCUUGUACACACCGCCCGUCAAGUCAUGAAAGUGGGCAGCACCCG